AUUUGAUGAUGGGGAUAGCUUGUACACAGUUUCCUAAAUCGUUCCCAAUACUCAUACAAACUCUCUCAAUUAUACUGCCAGAUGCCACAAAUUUCUUUUCUUAUGUU